ensembl:lncRNA
UUCAAUGCCAUACAACUCUCCUUCCGUGGCCUCCAACUGCUCUUCAAUGCAAGUAAAACUAAAUGCAUGCUCUUCAACCGAUAGCUGCCCGCACCUGCCCGCCCGCCCAGCAUCACUACUCUGGACGGUUUUGACUUAAAAUAGGUGGACAACUACAAAUACCUAGGUGUCUGGUUAGACUGUAAACUCCCCUUCCAGACCCACAUUUAGCAUCUCCAAUCCAAAAUUAAAUCUAGAAUUGGCUUCCUAUUUCGCAACAAAGCAUUCUUCACUCAUGCUGCCAAACAUACCCUCGUAAAACUGACUAUCCUACCGAUCCUCGACUUCGGCGAUGUCAUUUACAAAAUAGCCUCCAACACUCUACUCAGCAAACUGGAUGCAGUCUAUCAUAGUGCCAUCCGUUUUGUCACCAAAAUCCCAUACACUACCCACCACUGCGACCUGUACACUCUCGUUGGCUGGCCCUCACUUCAUACUUGUCGCUAAACCCACUGGCUCCAGGUCAUCUACAAGUCUCUGAUAGGUAAAGCCCCACCUUAUCUCUGCUCACUGGUCAGCAUAGCAGCACCCACCCACAGCACGCGCUCCAGCAGGUAUAUCUCUCUGGUCAGCAUAGCAGCACCCACCCACAGCACGCGCUCCAGCAGGUAUAUCUCACUGGUCACCAAAGCAGCACCCACCCACAGCACGCGCUCCAGCAGGUAUAUUUCACUGGUCACCAUAGCAGCACCCACCCACAGCACGCGCUCCAGCAGGUAUAUCUCACUGGUCAGCAUAGCAGCACCCACCCACAGCACGCGCUCCAGCAGGUAUAUCUCACUGGUCACCAAAGCAGCACCCACCCACAGCACGCGCUCCAGCAGGUAUAUCUCACUGGUCACCAAAGCAGCACCCACCCACAGCACGCGCUCCAGCAGGUAUAGCUCACUGGUCAUCCCCAAAGCAGCACCCACCCAUAGCACGCGCUCCAGCAGGUAUAUUUCACUGGUCAUCCCCAAAGCCUAUUCCUCCUUUGGCUGCCUUUCCUUCCAGUUGUCUGCUGCCAAUGACUGGAACGAACUGCAAAAAUCACUGAAGCUGGAGAAUCAUAUCUCCCUCACUAACUUCAAGCAACUGCUGUCAGAGCAGCUCACAGAUCACUGCACCUGUACAUAGCCCAUCUGUAAAUAGCCCAUCUGUAAACAGCCCAUCCAACUACCUCAUCCCCAUACUGUAUUUAUUUAUUGAUUUUGCUCCUUUGCACCCCAGUAUCUCUACUUGCACAUUCAUCUUCUGCGUAUCUAUCACUCCGGUGUUUAAUUGCAGUACUUCGCCACAUGGCCUAUUUUACUGCCUCACCUCCCUUAUCUCACCUCACUUGCUCACAUUGUAUAUAGACCUUUUCUACUGUAUUAUUGACUGUAUGUUUGUUUUACUCCAUGUGUUACUCUGUGUCGUUGUAUGUGUCGAACUGCUUUGCUUUAUCUUGGCCAGGUCACAUUUGUAAAUGAGAACUUGUUCUCAACUAGCCUACCUGGUUAAAUAAAGGUGAAAUAAAAAAUAAUAAAAUAAAAAAGACAAAUUACGGUUUCCGAUCUCUCCAAAACAACACGGUGAUGUCAAAAGGUUAAGGAGCAUGAGGACAUGAGAGGACAUGUGGAGAGCCUUGGUCUGGUACCAUUAAAAGGUCAUUUACCAUUAGACACGGUUGAUUUGAUUUGAUUUGAUUUGAAAUGGGACACACUGAGCUGACUACACAGAGUCCUGCCGCCUGGCAUGCACGCUAUCUCAUUGAAGCCUGAGGAGUUCGAGCCUUGUCUAUGUAUAUCUACCUGGUUAAAUAAAGGUGAAAUAAAUAAAUACAUUUUUUUUUUAAAUCUGCAAUGACAUGACAAGAGAAACUGCUG